rnacentral:sRNA from 1 species
AUAUGAAGAAUUCUACAGAUAACCUAGCAGGGGGGCGAUCUACUAAACCAUAUGAAUCCCUAAUGAGAAACCCUAAACCUAACAAGUGGAUUGCUCAUACAUGAUCAAAGAAACACAAAUCAUAGUCUGAAU